GGAAUAUUGGACAAUGGGCGCAAGCCUGAUCCAGCCAUGCCGCGUGCAGGAUGAAGCAUCUAUGGUGUGUAAACUGCUUUUAUACGAGAAGAAACACUGCUACGUGUAGCAGCUUGACGGUAUCGUAAGAAUAAGGAUCGGCUAACUCCGUGCCAGCAGCCGCGGUAAUACGGAGGAUCCAAGCGUUAUCCGGAAUCAUUGGGUUUAAAGGGUCCGUAGGCGGUUUAGUAAGUCAGUGGUGAAAGCCCAUCGCUCAACGGUGGAACGGCCAUUGAUACUGCUAAACUUGAAUUAUUAGGAAGUAACUAGAAUAUGUAGUGUAGCGGUGAAAUGCUUAGAGAUUACAUGGAAUACCAAUUGCGAAGGCAGGUUACUACUAAUAUAUUGACGCUGAUGGACGAAAGCGUGGGUAGCGAACAGGAUUAGAUACCCCAG
rnacentral:rRNA from 1 species